AGGAGAGCCCCAGUAUGGGAAUGUUGGUUGCUACAAACCGUUUUCUUUGCAGAAAUCGACUUUCUCGAGAAACAAUUGACUCCAGAAAAGCUUUGCGUGAUGCAGCUAUCAUACAAGACGGCAGAGGAUGUGUGAAGAAUAUUGGAAGGUGGAUCGGGGAAUGACAUGUUAAAGUACUCUCUAGCAAAAUCUAGCGACUGCUGUGACAUUUCUUACCAGAUUUAUGACGUUUGUUUACCAGUUUACAAUGCUGUAUACGCAUAACUCAAUCUUAACCAGUUAUAGUCAUUACCAGUUGGAUAUAACAGUGUACGCUCUAGAUGUUAAAGAAAGACUCAAAGUAACAUGAUAAUGUUUUGUGCUUGUAUAUACGUAGUUCUAUUUGUGGUCAAUUUGAGCAUGGUAUAAGAUACUGUGAA